rnacentral:rRNA from 1 species
UACGAAGGGGGCUAGCGUUGUUCGGAUUUACUGGGCGUAAAGCGCACGUAGGCGGUUUGUUAAGUCAGGGGUGAAAUCCCAGAGCUCAACUCUGGAACUGCCUUUGAUACUGGCAAGCUAGAGUCCGGAAGAGGUAAGUGGAACUCCUAGUGUAGAGGUGGAAUUCGUAGAUAUUAGGAAGAACACCAGUGGCGAAGGCGACAUACUGGUCCGUUACUGACGCUGAGGCUCGAAAGCGUGGGGAGCAAACAGG